UUUAAAUUAGAGACAGGAAAAGCAUUUCAGCAGUAUUUAAAUAAUGUUUUUCUAAUUGCACAAUUUGCUUAAAAAAAAAAAAAAAAAAAAAAAGAGUUUUUCAAAACAUUGGUUUAAAGAUAAAAAUAUGCUAGAUGGGGAAAAGAAGGAGGAAGGAAACUGCAGAGUUCCAUGUGCUGAGAUCUUUUUAAUCCACUUCCUAGGUGAGGGAGAGCUGGUUUUAGGGGAGUGAGAACAGAUUUGAAUGUGCCUCCCUUCAAGUGAGCUGCCUGUUAAUCUAACAAGUGGGAGCCUUUCUGAGAGCCAUUGACAUCCUGGAAUAUCUGCCAUGGACAAAGACAUUCAUGGCAGGGUUUGACCAGUGGUUGAAUCAGGGGUUAAUCUGGGAAAGGACCAUGAAUAAAGCUUCUAGCUGGUAUAUUUUCAAAUCUGAAUAAGUAAUUCUGUAUAAAUGCCCAAAUGUCUGAAAUCUCACAUGUAACAUAUUCAGAAGAAUCUGAAUAUCUCUCUUUCCCAGAGGUAAGUUCCUACGUUCUCAUGACUUUGUACUGGAAUUAGGCUUGCUAGAUACUCUAAAAAACAAUAAGGAGGAAAAAAAAGAAAAAAGAUGCUUCAGAAUCAAUUUUGUUAAUUAGCAAAUCACAUAUAUUUUUUUCCCAUAAACUAGAUGUCCAAAAAAAAAAAAAAAAAAAUCUGAAGUGCCAGAACAAUGAAAUGUUAUGUAACAAUCAGCUGAGUCCUUAUUUUAAGCACAAAAUCUUAUAUUUUCACCUGAAAACCAGUGUUCUGGCUUUUGUUGUUGUUAGUUUGUUACUUGGUUUCAGUUAUUUGUUGAUGUCUAUUUGGGGAUUUUGUUUUGUUUUUAUUGUUGUUAAGCAGAUUUUCGUUUUUCUUCCUUGCUUGGUAGAAAUGGCUUCGUUUGGAUCACAAACUGAAUAUCCCUUCAGCCACCAAGGAACUCAAACCCUUGGUAAAACCAACUCCUUGCUAAAUUCAUCACAAGCCACAGGUACAAAAACAAAAAGUCAACGCAGCGUGGCUCUCGCAGCAAUCUUCUCGUGGCAGCACUUCACAACACACAGCAAGGCUCUCCCAGCUGAAGAACAAAAACUUAUCGUUACAGAAGCAGAAACAAAGCAUUGUGCAUACCUUGCUGCUUCCGUUGCCUCAGCAGGUUUCCAGGAAUGGGAACAGCUGGAGAAACUGAAUGUUAUGCUUCAUUGA
ensembl:lncRNA